rnacentral:tRNA from 1 species
UUGGAUUUAAACCCCAAAUAUAAAGAUAUUACUUUUUUUAGAA